rnacentral:piRNA from 1 species
UUCCCUUCACAGCUGCGACCACCUGCCC